ACUUGAGUUGUCGCAACGGACAAAAUAAAAAAGUAAACGUAGGGUAAGGAAGUAUGUAGUGAGGUACAGAAAUAAAUAGGAUUGUUAAGGAAGCGUGUCAAGUUAUUCAGCAAGUGAGGCUUUAUAAAUAACAAGGAAAGUAAGAAAUGAAACAGCGUCGGCUAAGGAAUCAAGUUGGACACCGUAUGUGAACCAGGCUUAAGGACAGGCUGUCACUCCUCAAAGUUUCUCACCUCUCCAGUUUUUCAUCCUGCCUGGAUGUAAUGAACAACUGCUGGAUGAAAUGGCACGUUGGUGACUUGUCUUUGAUUUGAUGUUGCCGUCGCAGUGGAGGGCGUCCUGCAGGCACGCAGGGUUUUCUAAAGGUG